CUGGGUUCCUCAGUGUCGCCCCAGACCUGCCCCUUCCUACCUGCUGAGGACACUGGGCAUUAGCCAGAACAACCAUGAUGCCAGCACUGGCUCUGCUGUCCCUGCUGGCAGCCCCCCUCGGUGUCCUGUCCCAGAUCACAUUGAAAGAGUCUGGCCCUGGGGUGGUGAAGCCUGGAGAGACCCUCAGCCUGACCUGCACCGUGUCUGGAUUCUCUCUCACUAGCAGUGAUGUGAGCUGGGUUCGGCAGGCAGACGGAGAAGGGCUGCAGUGGGUUGGAGUUAUCUGGUAUGAUGGAAGCACUGGUUAUAACAGUGUUCUCAAAAGCCGCCUCACCAUCAGCAGAGACAUCUCCAGCAGCCAAGUGCACCUGCGUCUGACCGGGCUCCAGCCUGCAGACACAGCCCGGUAUUACUGUGCCAGGAACACAGUGAAUGAAAACCCAUGGGAGCCUGCACAAAAACCAUGA